rnacentral:tRNA from 1 species
GCGCCUUUAGCUCAGCUGGAUAGAGCGAUUGUCUUCGGAACAAUAGGUCGGGAGUUCGAAUCUCUCAAGGCGCA